rnacentral:sRNA from 1 species
AAGAAGAAUUAAAUUUGCUUUUAGAUUACUGAUCAGCAAUCUGAAAGAAAAUUGUUAAUGGGAUGGAAUUGAUUAAAUCUGCUGCAUGGAAGUCAAAAUAUGAAUUAUUGCCACCAGUCUUGAAGUCAGCUUGUAAAGAAUGCUAAGAAUUGAAUGAAAAUGCUGUCUUGAUAUCUUGUUUGUGCUGUUAUAUUUGUCUUUUGUGUUGGUUAAUUAUUCCAUGAAUAAAAAAUAAAAAAA